GCCCGCGUGGCGGAAUUGGCAGACGCGCCGUCUUCAGGUGGCGGUUCCUUCACCGGAGUACAGGUUCGACUCCUGUCGCGGGCAUAC
rnacentral:tRNA from 1 species